UGGGGAAUAUUGCACAAUGGGCGCAAGCCUGAUGCAGCCAUGCCGCGUGUGUGAAGAAGGCCUUCGGGUUGUAAAGCACUUUCAGCGAGGAGGAAGGUGGUGAGCUUAAUACGCUCAUCAAUUGACGUUACUCGCAGAAGAAGCACCGGCUAACUCCGUGCCAGCAGCCGCGGUAAUACGGAGGGUGCAAGCGUUAAUCGGAAUUACUGGGCGUAAAGCGCACGCAGGCGGUUUGUUAAGUCAGAUGUGAAAUCCCCGGGCUCAACCUGGGAACUGCAUUUGAAACUGGCAAGCUAGAGUCUCGUAGAGGGGGGUAGAAUUCCAGGUGUAGCGGUGAAAUGCGUAGAGAUCUGGAGGAAUACCGGUGGCGAAGGCGGCCCCCUGGACGAAGACUGACGCUCAGGUGCGAAAGCGUGGGGCAGCAAACAGGAUUAGAUACCCUGGUAGUCCACGCUGUAAAACGAUGUCGAUUUUGGAGGUUGUGCCCUUGAGGCGUGGCUUCCGGAGCUAACGCGUUAAAUUGACCGCCUGGGGAGUACGGCCGCAAGGUUAAAACUCAAAGGAAUUGACGGGGUCUAGCUG
rnacentral:rRNA from 1 species